CCUACGGGGGGCAGCAGUGGGGAAUAUUGGACAAUGGGGGCAACCCUGAUCCAGCAAUGCCGCGUGAGUGAUGAAGGCCUUCGGGUUGUAAAGCUCUUUCGGCGGGGAGGCGGUACCCGCAGAAGAAGCCCCGGCUAACUUCGUGCCAGCAGCCGCGGUAAUACGAAGGGGGCAAGCGUUGUUCGGAAUUACUGGGCGUAAAGGGCGCGCAGGCGGCAUACGUAGUCAGGCGUGAAAGCCCCGGGCUUAACCUGGGAAUUGCGUUUGAUACUCGUAAGCUAGAGUUCGGGAGAGGAUGGUGGAAUUCCCAGUGUAGAGGUGAAAUUCGUAGAUAUUGGGAAGAACACCGGUGGCGAAGGCGGCCAUCUGGACCGAACUGACGCUGAGGCGCGAAAGCGUGGGGAGCAAACAGGAUUAGAUACCCUUGUAGUC
rnacentral:rRNA from 1 species